CCCUUAGAUGUCCUGGGCCGCACGCGCGCUACACUGAGUGUCUGAGAUACGAGUCUGCCUGGUCCGGCAAGGUCUAGGUAAUCGCUAAAAGACACAUCAUGCUUGGGAUAGAUUAUUGCAAAUAUUAAUCUUGAACGAGGAAUUCCUAGUAAGCGCAAGUCAACAGCUUGCGUUGAUUACGUCCCUGCCCUUUGUACACACCGCCCGUCGCUACUACUGAUUGGAUGUUCCGGUGAAUAAUUCGGACUGCGGCUGAUUGGGGACUCUUCAGUCGGCUGUGGAAAGUCUAGUGAACCUUAACACUUAGAGGAAGGAGAAGUCGUAACA
rnacentral:rRNA from 1 species